rnacentral:rRNA from 1 species
AGGAAGCGAGAAGUCGACGCGCCGAAAGGCGUCCGGCCCUCCGCGAGCACCCGCGGGGGUUCGGGUUUCGGACCCGGUCCGUUCCCGUUCCCACCGAGGGGCUGUCCGCGAUCAUGGAGGUGUCCUCGGACGGCGUCGAAGUCUCCGGUCCGCGACGCUACGGCUUGGAUGGUCCACCCGACCCGUCUUGAAACACGGACCAAGGAGUCUAACAUGCGCGCGAGUCGUUGGGUCGGACACGCUCCGCUAAACCCAUAGGCGCAAUGAAAGUGAAGGCCGCCGUCCGGCGGCCGAGGGAGGACGGGGCCGCAGGGGGCGCUCCGGCGUCCUCCGGUCCCCGCACCCCCGGGGCGUCUGAUCCCUCAUCGCGAGGGGAGGCGCACCCAGAGCGCACACGUUGGGACCCGAAAGAUGGUGAACUAUGCCUGGCCAGGACGAAGUCAGGGGAAACCCUGAUGGAGGUCCGUAGCGAUUCUGACGUGCAAAUCGAUCGUCGGAGCUGGGUAUAGGGGCGAAAGACUAAUCGAACCAUCUAGUAGCUGGUUCCCUCCGAAGUUUCCCUCAGGAUAGCUUGCGCUCGGAGGAGAGUCUCAUCCGGUAAAGCGAAUGAUUAGAGGCCUUGGGGCCGAAACGGCUUCAACCUAUUCUCAAACUUUAAAUGGGUGAGAACUCCGGCUUGCUCGACUUAUCGAAGCCGGAGACGGGGUCCACUCUUCGGGGUGGACCCCCGGGAUCGGAGUGCACAGUGGGCCACUUUUGGUAAGCAGAACUGGCGCUGUGGGAUGAACCAAACGACGGGUUAAGGCGCCCGAAUCGACGCUCAUGGGAAACCAUGAAAGGUGUUGGUUGCUUAAGACAGCAGGACGGUGGCCAUGGAAGUCGGAAUCCGCUAAGGAGUGUGUAAUAACUCACCUGCCGAAGCAACUAGCCCUGAAAAUGGAUGGCGCUGAAGCGUCGUGCCUAUACCCGGCCGUCGCGGCAGGGCGGACCCGACUUCGGUCGGGUGCCGUUUGAUGCGGCGACGAGUAGGAGGGUCGCGGCGGCGCGCGCAGAAGGGUCUGGGCUCGAGCCUGCCUGGAGCCGUCGCCGGUGCAGAUCUUGGUGGUAGUAGCAAAUACUCCAGCGAGGCCCUGGAGGACUGAUGUGGAGAAGGGUUUCGUGUGAACAGCCGUUGCACACGAGUCAGUCGAUCCUAAGCCCUAGGAGAAAUCCGACGCCAACGGCGACGGGAAAAAUGAAAUGAAAUUGAAAGAAACCCGUUGAUCGGGCGAAAGGGAAUCCGGUUCCUAUUCCGGAACCCGGCAGCGGAACCGCUGUUUGUCGGGCCCUCACAAGGGGUCCGUCAGGGUAACCUAAAAGGGCCCGGAGACGCCGUCGGGAGCCCCGGAAAGAGUUUUCUUUUCUGCAUGAGCGUUCGAGUUCCCUG